rnacentral:rRNA from 1 species
CUCCUGCAAAAAUCAAUGGAUAGGAGGCCCUGCCUGCCCAGUGACUAAGUUAAACGGCCGCGGUAUUUUGACCGUGCAAAGGUAGCGCAAUCACUUGUUUUUUAAAUAAAGACCUGUAUGAAUGGUGAAACGAGGGCUUAACUGUCUCCCCCCUCCAAUCAGUGAAAUUGAUCUACCCGUGCAGAAGCGGGUAUUUUUAUACAAGACGAGAAGACCCUAUGGAGCUUUAGACAAGUAAUCAACUAUGUUAAAAACCCCUAAUUAAAGGAUCACAACAAAAUCAGCCACUGAUUAUAGUCUUCGGUUGGGGCGACCACGGAGUAAAAUUAACCCUCCACGCGGAAUAAAAUAUUUUUUCAAAACUAAGAGACACAUCUCUAAGCCACAGAAACUCUGACCCAUGGAUCCGGCACAAGCCGAUCAACGGACCAAGUUACCCUAGGGAUAACAGCGCAAUCCUCUCCAAGAGUCCAUAUUGACAAGAGGGUUUACGACCUCGCUGUUGGAUCAGGACAUCCUGAUGGUGCAGCCGCUAUUAAGGGCUCGUUUGUUCAACGAUUAAAGUCCUACGUGAUCUGAG